rnacentral:rRNA from 1 species
UACGGGGGGGGCAAGCGUUGUUCGGAAUUACUGGGCGUAAAGGGCGCGUAGGCGGCCUUCUAAGUCGGACGUGAAAUCCCUCGGCUUAACCGAGGAACUGCGUCCGAUACUGAAAGGCUUGAAUCCGGGAGAGGGAUGUGGAAUUCCAGGUGUAGCGGUGAAAUGCGUAGAUAUCUGGAGGAACACCGGUGGCGAAGGCAGCCCCCUGGGUCAAAACUGACGCUCAUGCACGAAAGCGUGGGGAGCAAACAGG